UACAGAGGGCUCAAGCGUUGUUCGGAAUCACUGGGCGUAAAGGGUGCGCAGGUGGUCAUGUAAGUCAAAUGUGAAAGACUGGGGCUCAACCUCAGAUUUGCAUGUGAUACUGCGUGACUUGAGAACUGAAGAGGGAUCUUGAAUUCACGGUGUAGCAGUGAAAUGCGUAGAUAUCGUGAGGAACACCAAAGGCGAAAGCAGGAUCCUGGUCAGCUUCUGACACUCAUGCACGAAGGCUAGGGGAGCAAACGGG
rnacentral:rRNA from 1 species